rnacentral:rRNA from 1 species
UAAGCGACUAAGCGUACACGGUGGAUGCCCUGGCAGUCAGAGGCGAUGAAGGACGUGCUAAUCUGCGAAAAGCGUCGGUAAGGUGAUAUGAACCGUUAUAGCCGGCGAUGUCCGAAUGGGGAAACCCAGUGUGAUUCGUCACACUAUCGUUACUGAAUACAUAGGUUAACGAGGCGAACCGGGGAACUGAAACAUCUAAGUACCCCGAGGAAAAGAAAUCAACCGAGAUUCCCCCAGUAGCGGCGAGCGAACGGGGAGCAGCAGAGUCUGAAUCAGCUUGUGUGUAGUGGAACGGUCUGGAAAGUCCGACGGUACAGGGUGAUAGU